UCACUAUGGUACCAUUUUAUCAGCAGACAUCUGGCAAUCCUUGGUGGUAAAGCAGGAAAGAAGGGUCUUACUGGUGUAGUGUAAGAAACCAUAUUUUCUUCUGUCUGCAUUAGUGUUAUCUCAGAAAACACACAGUCUGCUUUUGUUUCCCAACAAGGUUUGCAAAAUAGUCAGUCCAUGGCUUUCAGUCUAGGUCCCAUGGCAAGAUCAUGCUUAAUAUAAGAAGUAGAAGCCAUUAUAUCAGCAGAGAGACGCUUGAAGAGAAGUAUGUGUUUAGGAAGACAGAUAAAAUGACAUCUAUUUUUAAAAGAAAAUUAUAAAGGAAGUAUUUUAUUGAUCUUGCAGUAUGUUAUAAAGUAACGUAUGAAUGUAAGAUUUUAUUGGGUACUAUAUUAAACUGACAACAUAUUCAAAAAAAAUUACUGUGCUUGUCAGUAAUGAAGAUAAAUAGGAUAAAAGGAAAGAACAUUUGUAUUUUGUAAAGUAUCAUUUUAUAAAAAUAGUUUUGCUCAUGCAACUUACCUCUAGUAUUUAAAAAGGCACCUCAGUCUUUUAAUACAGCAUUUUGUCUCAUAUCUUGAUUAUGGAACCAUUCCAUAAUGGGGUCAUGUUAUACUACAGAAAGACUAUGCCUGUGCCUAAGCCCAGAAUUGCAGCCCAAAACCAUGCAGCUCAGCUACUGCCUAAUUCUGGAUGCGUCUGAAAUCAGUAGACACCUCCUCAGUUAACUUGACAUUUUGCCAUACAUCUGUGAUUUUUUUUCUGUACUUGCCCAGAACUGUCCCAGUCUGAAGAGCCCAGAACCUCUGUCAGCAUUGUAAGAUCAUUUGGGAUGCUUGUAUGCCUUUCCCUAAAUCAUUUAAGAAACUAGAAGACAUUCUUCUGUAUGCCUAGCAUAAGCUGACACAUUUGGUCCCCCUCACAAAAGUGUCAGUGGCCACUUCCUCGUAAGACAGUGGUGAUGGGCUUUUUUUAUACAAUAACCUAGCGAUUAGAGCACUACCCUAGGAAAUGGAAGGCUUAGCUUUCCUCCUCAAUCUAAGGAGAUUCAUUUCAUAUCUUCCAUCUACCAGGAGACAGACCCAGUCAUCAGGCUAUUCAAAGGAGGGGGAACUGUCUUUUACUGCUUUUGAAACUGUGCUACUUUGCAGAAAGAAUUCAAAAUCAUGGGGCCAGAGAAAGAACACAGAAAUAUAACUUUUCAGCCCAGCAGCUGCCAAACUCACAUGCAAGGGGAGUCCCAGGUGCCCCUAUAAUGUCAACCUAUAAAGUAUCUUUUAAUUUUUUCACUCUCAAAUAAUUUUCUCAUCAAUAGAAAAAUGCAAUGAUGAAGGUUUACAGUAGUAUACCUAGGUCUAAGUACAGACAUUCAGAGGGAUUAGGGGGAGGUUAGAUCAGGUUCAAAAUGGCCACCCAGCAUAACUUACUUCACCCUGGGUGUGGGCCUUUUGCUCAUAUCUAGUCUUAGUGAUAGGAAACCAAUCCAAACUAGGGAUGUUAAAGGUUAAAUGAUUAAUUGUUAAACCAAUAAGUGCAAUGAUAACUAGUUAGCUUACCAGUAAUCAUUUAGCUUGGUAUGAGCACAGUCUGGCAUGGAAGGUGGGAAAGGAAGCCACUUGGUGCCCCAGCAGGAAUCAGAAGGCAGGAGGGAAGGGAUGAGGUGAGAAGGGACAAGGAGAAAUCGUACCCAUAGCCUAAAAGG